GUCCAUCUGACGAGUUUCAAAUAGGAUGAAACGCGCGUCCUCGAU
rnacentral:hammerhead_ribozyme from 1 species